rnacentral:misc_RNA from 1 species
GAAAUCAUAUGUUUCUUGCCAUUGUUGAGGAUCUGCAUGGUAACCAGAGGUCUUACACCACUCCUGAGAAUCAUCAGAAUGAAUAACAUCCGCUGCAGGAUAAGAGGGUUUGUGUUGAAAGUAAAGUCGGGCAGACUCUAGACUAGACCUUAAAAGAGCUCCAUCACUUGUGGAUAGCUGUAUAAUGGCAGCUGAAUACUGAGCCAAUGACUGUGACAAAGUUGAGACAGAUAAUUUAUACGAAUCAGAAGGAAGACCUUCCAAUGGUACCAAAUCAC